AACCAAUCGUAUAAAUUUACAACCACUUUAUUCUCCAGGGGUAGAUUCCAAAUCAACUCCAGCGAAACAGUCCAAGAAAUUGGAAAUAAAAUUUAUAAAUUUUCCUCGUAUACAAUUAAGUACAUGGUUUUUUGCAGUUCUGUUGGAAUAUCACCCUGUCGUGUGAUUCUGGUAGUGGAUGCGGACUCCUUUGAAGUCCAAGUCCAUCAAAAAACUGACAACUCCACGAUUAGCACACCCUGCAUUGUAGGGACGGAAUCUGGAAUACAAUCCAAUGGCUAUCUUUACAGCUAAGUUAGCUGUUAGCUGAGCUAACACGAUCACUCGAUGAAUCCAGAUAUCGUCACUGUUCGUGUACAACAUACCAGGUCAAGAAGUGUCACGUUUCACAAAAUACCAAGUUAAAAGUUUGUAGUUUCAAUAAAUACCAAGUCAUUUUUGGGGA